rnacentral:rRNA from 1 species
AGUGAACGCUGGCGGUAGGCCUAACACAUGCAAGUCGAACGGCAGCACAGUAAGAGCUUGCUCUUACGGGUGGCGAGUGGCGGACGGGUGAGGAAUACAUCGGCAUCUACUUUUUCGUGGGGGAUAACGUAGGGAAACUUACGCUAAUACCGCAUACGACCUACGGGUGAAAGCAGGGGAUCUUCGGACCUUGCGCGAUUGAAUGAGCCGAUGUCGGAUUAGCUAGUUGGCGGGGUAAAGGCCCACCAAGGCGACGAUCCGUAGCUGGUCUGAGAGGAUGAUCAGCCACACUGGAACUGAGACACGGUCCAGACUCCUACGGGAGGCAGCAGUGGGGAAUAUUGGGCAAUGGGCGCAAGCCUGAUGCAGCCAUACCGCGUGGGUGAAGAAGGCCUUCGGGUUGUAAAGCCCUUUUGUUGGGAAAGAAAAGCAGCAGGUUAAUACCCCGCUGUUCUGACGGUACCCAAAGAAUAAGCACCGGCUAACUUCGUG